GGCCGACUAGCUCAGUUGGUUAGAGCGUCGUGCUAAUAUUCUGUAUGUUACGCGAAGGUCUUGGGUUCGAUCCCCACGUUGGCCA